rnacentral:rRNA from 1 species
CCUACGGGAGGCAGCAGUGGGGAAUAUUGGGCAAUGGACGCAAGUCUGAUCCAGCAACGCCGCGUGAAGGAAGAAGGCUCUCGGGUUGUAAACCUCUAUCAAGGGGGAAGAACAAAAGACGGUACCUGUUUAAUAAGCCCCGGCUAACUACGUGCCAGCAGCCGCGGUAAUACGUAGGUGGCAAGCGUUAUCCGGAAUUACUGGGUGUAAAGGGAGAGUAGCCGGGAAGGUAAGUCUGAUGUGAAAGGCGGGGGCUCAACCGCCGAACUGCAUUUGAAACUGUGUGACUGGAGUGUAGGAGAGGUGAGCGGAAUUCCUAGUGUAGCGGUGAAAUGCGUAGAUAUUAGGAGGAACACCAGUGGCGAAGGCGGAUUACUGGACUACAACUGACGUUGAGGCGCGAAAGCGUGGGGAGCAAACAGGAUUAGAUACCCUAGUAGUC